rnacentral:rRNA from 1 species
GUAAAGCUCUGUUGUUAGGGAAGAACAAGUACCGUUCGAAUAGGGCGGUACCUUGACGGUACCUAACCAGAAAGCCACGGCUAACUACGUGCCAGCAGCCGCGGUAAUACGUAGGUGGCAAGCGUUGUCCGGAAUUAUUGGGCGUAAAGCGCGCGCAGGCGGUCUCUUAAGUCUGAUGUGAAAGCCCACGGCUCAACCGUGGAGGGCCAUUGGAAACUGGGGGACUUGAGUGCAGAAGAGGAGAGUGGAAUUCCACGUGUAGCGGUGAAAUGCGUAGAUAUGUGGAGGAACACCAGUGGCGAAGGCGGCUCUCUGGUCUGUAACUGACGCUGAGGCGCGAAAGCGUGGGGAGCAAACAGGAUUAGAUACCCUGGUAGUCCACGCCGUAAACGAUGAGUGCUAGGUGUUGGGGGGUUCCACCCUCAGUGCUGAAGUUAACACAUUAAGCACUCCGCCUGGGGAGUACGACCGCAAGGUUGAAACUCAAAGGAAUUGACGGGGGCCCGCACAAGCAGUGGAGCAUGUGGUUUAAUUCGAAGCAACGCGAAGAACCUUACCAGGUCUUGACAUCCUCUGCCACUCCUAGAGAUAGGACGUUCCCCUUCGGGGGACAGAGUGACAGGUGGUGCAUGGUUGUCGUCAGCUCGUGUCGUGAGAUGUUGGGUUAAGUCCCGCAACGAGCGCAACCCUUGAUCUUAGUUGCCAGCAUUCAGUUGGGCACUCUAAGGUGACUGCCGGUGACAAACCGGAGGAAGGUGGGGACGACGUCAAAUCAUCAUGCCCCUUAUGACCUGGGCUACACACGUGCUACAAUGGACGGUACAAAGGGCAGCAACACCGCGAGGUGAAGCGAAUCCCAUAAAGCCGUUCUCAGUUCGGAUUGCAGGCUGCAACUCGCCUGCAUGAAGCCGGAAUUGCUAGUAAUCGCGAUCAGCUGCCGCGA